rnacentral:tRNA from 1 species
GGGGAUUUAGCUCAGUGGUAGAGCGCUUGCCUAGCAAGCAAGCGCAAGGCCCUGGGUUCAGUCCCCA